AAUAGAUACCCCGGUAGUCCACGCCGUAAACGAUGUCGACUUGGAGGUUGUGCCCUUGAGGCGUGGCUUCCGGAGCUAACGCGUUAAGUCGACCGCCUGGGGAGUACGGCCGCAAGGUUAAAACUCAAAUGAAUUGACGGGGGCCCGCACAAGCGGUGGAGCAUGUGGUUUAAUUCGAUGCAACGCGAAGAACCUUACCUACUCUUGACAUCCAGAGAACUUGGCGGAGAUGCUUUGGUGCCUUCGGGAACUCUGAGACAGGUGCUGCAUGGCUGUCGUCAGCUCGUGUUGUGAAAUGUUGGGUUAAGUCCCGCAACGAGCGCAACCCUUAUCCUUUGUUGCCAGCGGUUAGGCCGGGAACUCAAAGGAGACUGCCAGUGAUAAACUGGAGGAAGGUGGGGAUGACGUCAAGUCAUCAUGGCCCUUACGAGUAGGGCUACACACGUGCUACAAUGGCGCAUACAAAGAGAAGCGACCUCGCGAGAGCAAGCGGACCUCAUAAAGUGCGUCGUAGUCCGGAUUGGAGU
rnacentral:rRNA from 1 species